rnacentral:snRNA from 1 species
AUCGCUUCUCGGCCUUUUGGCUAAGAUCAAGUGCAAUAAAAACGUUAAAACCAGACAUUUUUUUGCCCCCUUCCUGAUUUCAGGAGGACAGUAGUCAGUCUUGUAUCAUUAAUUAUGAUGUCAGUUGUAGCCUUU